UACGGAGGGGGCUAGCGUUGUUCGGAAUUACUGGGCGUAAAGCGCGCGUAGGCGGACCUGCAAGUCGGGGGUGAAAGCCCGAGGCUCAACCUCGGAACUGCCUCCGAUACUGCGGGUCUCGAGUCCGGGAGAGGUGAGUGGAAUUCCUAGUGUAGAGGUGAAAUUCGUAGAUAUUAGGAAGAACACCCGUGGCGAAGGCGGCUCUCCGGGACGGUACUGACGCUGAGACGCGAAAGCGUGGGGAGCGAACAGG
rnacentral:rRNA from 1 species